GGCCGUGUGGCCCAAUGGCAAGGCGCUUGACUACGAUUCAACCGAAAUCAAGAGAUUCCAGGUAUGUAGUUGAUACUGCAGAGAUCUUAUCCGCAUUGAUUACUAACUCUACUCAGGUUCGACCCCUGGCACGGUCA